rnacentral:misc_RNA from 1 species
UGGAGACGAUGCACCAGAAAUUGUACAGGGAUUUGCGGUUGCAGUCAAAGCAGGGUUGACCAAGGCGGACUUCGAUACCACUGUGGGUAUUCACCCUACAGCAGCAGAGGAGUUUGUCACCAUGCGAACCCCAACAAGGAAGAUUCGAAGCAGUCCAUCUGAGGGUAAGGCAGAGCACGACUCUAAAGCUGCUGCAAGAGUUUGAUAUGCGGCGAUAAAGGCUCAAUUUGUUAAGUGACACAGAGAACACGAGUACAAUUUGAAAGAGGUUUUAGACUGAUGAGAGCUUAUGGAACAUCAGUAUGGAGUUACAACGAGCAAAAAACUUUCUAAGACAAUGAGUCACUAAUACUUCUUGGAACAAAUGCUAACUUCACUACUUAAAAAGGUCUCUCAAGGUGGUUGCGAUGAUGGUAUAUGCAUUUAUCCAUUGGCUUGCAUCUUGUCAACAGUGUUUCCUUUGAUCAAAGUAAUUGAGGUUAAACAUUCUGUCCAGAUUUUAUUUAGGGGAGUCCAGAGGAUUGCUGACUAAUAUCUUGAUGAUGCUUUUCUCCGUUAUUCUACUUUUCUGCUGGGUUUGAGGGCGCAUUUGGGCAGUGUAAUUAUAACAUUGCUUAUUAAGUAUUGUUUUUGUAAUUAUAAAAUUAGUUGAUAUGCUGCAAUAAUAGCAGUUAAGCGG